rnacentral:rRNA from 1 species
GCUAAGAGAUCAGCCUAUGUCCUAUCAGCUUGUUGGUAAGGUAAUGGCUUACCAAGGCUAUGACGGGUAUCCGGCCUGAGAGGGUGAACGGACACACUGGAACUGAGACACGGUCCAGACUCCUACGGGAGGCAGCAGUAGGGAAUAUUGCUCAAUGGGGGAAACCCUGAAGCAGCAACGCCGCGUGGAGGAUGAAGGUUUUAGGAUUGUAAACUCCUUUUGUUAGAGAAGAUAAUGACGGUAUCUAACGAAUAAGCACCGGCUAACUCCGUGCCAGCAGCCGCGGUAAUACGGAGGGUGCAAGCGUUACUCGGAAUCACUGGGCGUAAAGAGCGCGUAGGCGGGAUAGUCAGUCAGGUGUGAAAUCCUAUGGCUUAACCAUAGAACUGCAUUUGAAACUACUAUUCUAGAGUGUGGGAGAGGUAGGUGGAAUUCUUGGUGUAGGGGUAAAAUCCGUAGAGAUCAAGAGGA